GUUGGCUCAGAAGCAGCCAUUCAUUCAAAGAGUGCGUAAUAGCUCACUGGUCGAGUGGUCAUGCGCCGAAGAUGUACCGGGGCUCAAACGCGCCACCGAAGCAUGGGAUUCGCGCAAGCGAGUGGUAGAGGAGCAUUGAAUCAGGGCAGAAGCUGGAGCGGGAGCACCAGUGGACUUGAUUCAAGAGAGAAUGCCGGUAUGAGUAGCGAGAGGCAAGCGAGAAACUUGCCCGUCGAAAGCCUAAGGUUUCCUGGGGAAGGUUCAUCCGCCCAGGGUAAGUCGGGACCUAAGCCGAGGACGGAAGUCGUAGGCGAUGGACAGCAGGUUGAGAUUCCUGCACCGCCUUGAGAAUGAUGCAAUGACACAGAAGGAUAGCAUGAGCCGGGUGAUGGUCAACUCGGUUUCCAGAGCGAGGGCGCUUGGUAGUGAAGUACGCCAAGCGUAAAGCCUGAGCUGAAGAGGGAGCGAAAUUGAAGUAGCGAAGCAUGCGAUUUCACGCUGGCGAGAAAAGUUGCUGGUAUAUCGAAGAGGCGCCCGUACCGCAAACCGACGCAGGUAGGCGAGGUGAGAAUCCUAAGACGAACGGGAGAACCCUUGUUAAGGAACUCGGCAAAAUGACCCCGUAACUUCGGGAUAAGGGGUGCCUGCGAGAGCAGGCCGCAGAGAAUAGUCACAAGCGACUGUUUAGCAAAAACACAGGUAUCUGCGAAAGCGAGAGCUGACGUAUAGGUGCUGACACCUGCCCGGUGCUGGAAGGUUAAGGGAACAUGUUAGAGCAAUCGAAGCAUCGAACCGAAGCCCCAGUAAACGGCGGCCGUAACUAUAACGGUCCUAAGGUAGCGAAAUUCCUUGUCGGGUAAGUUCCGACCCGCACGAAUGGUGUAACGACUUGUGAGCUGUCUCAACAGGGGGCCCGGUGAAAUUGAAGUAUGGGUGAAGAUGCCCAUUACCCGCGACUGGACGGAGAGACCCCGUAGAGCUUUACUGCAGCCUGAUAUUGAGUUUCGGUAACUGAUGCACAGGAUAGGUGGGAGUCUGAGAGACAUGGGUUUCGGCUCAUGUGGAGACGGUGUUGGGAUACCACUCUUCGGUUACUGAAAUUCUAACAUAGCUCUGUGAAACCAGAGGAUGGACAGUGUCAGGUGGACAGUUUGACUGGGGCGGUCGCCUCCGAAAGAGUAACGGAGGCGCCCAAAGGUACCCUCAGAAUGGAUGGAAACCAUUCGAAGAGCGCAAAGGCAGAAGGGUGCCUGACUGCGAGAGCGACAACUCGAGCAGAGACGAAAGUCGGGCUUAGUGAUCCGGCGGUAUUGAGUGGAAAAGCCGUCGCUUAACGGAUAAAAGCUACCUCGGGGAUAACAGGCUGAUCUCCCCCAAGAGUCCACAUCGACGGGGAGGUUUGGCACCUCGAUGUCGGCUCGUCGCAUCCUGGGGCUGGAGCAGGUCCCAAGGGUUUGGCUGUUCGCCAAUUAAAGCGGCACGCGAGCUGGGUUCAGAACGUCGUGAGACAGUUCGGUCCCUAUCCAUCGUGGGCGUAGGAGUCAUGAGAGGAGCUGUUCCUAGUACGAGAGGACCGGAAUGGACGCACCACUGGUGCAACUGUUGUCGUGCCAACGGCAUAGCAGGGAAGCGAAGUGCGGAUGGGAUAAACGCUGAAGGCAUCUAAGCGUGAAGCCCACCUCAAGAAUAAGACUCCACAUAGACCCCUGGAGGACUACCAGGUAGAUAGGUCAUCGGUGGAAGCGCUGUAAGGCGUGCAGCUUGAUGAUACUAAUCGGUCGAAAGCUUCAUUUA
rnacentral:rRNA from 1 species